AUCGCUUCUCUGCCUUUUGGCUAAGAUCAAGUGUAGCAUCUGUUCUUAUCAGUACAUAAUUUCCCACUGGUGAUUAAUAAAGUCUGUCUAAGCAUAAGAAAUGCAUUGAGUUGUGGACAUGUGAUUGGCUCAUGGACUGCAACAAAAUAAUCAGUUAUUCACUUCACCUGUCAGUGGUUUUAAUGUU